rnacentral:misc_RNA from 1 species
AACCGCUGCUUCUCUUCGCCCCUGCAAUUAAGACAAAUUAUUUUCCUUUCUUUUACAAUUAUGCAGAUCAUUAUUAUUUCUUUUAAAAGUAUAAUUUUAAAGCUUCACCAAUUAAUUUAUAUAAUAGUCUUAGUUUAAAAUUUUAAAUAUAUGAUAUAUACUCGACUCGACUCAACUUAAUUCAACUAAAUCUUUAUCUCAAAA